rnacentral:rRNA from 1 species
GCUCAGGAUGAACGCUGGCGGCGUGCUUAACACAUGCAAGUCGAACGGUGAAGCAGAGCUUGCUCUGUGGAUCAGUGGCGAACGGGUGAGUAACACGUGAGCAAUCUGCCCCUGACUCUGGGAUAAGCGCUGGAAACGGCGUCUAAUACCGGAUACGAGCUGCGACCGCAUGGUCAGUAGCUGGAAAGAAUUUCGGUCAGGGAUGAGCUCGCGGCCUAUCAGCUUGUUGGUGAGGUAAUGGCUCACCAAGGCGUCGACGGGUAGCCGGCCUGAGAGGGUGACCGGCCACACUGGGACUGAGACACGGCCCAGACUCCUACGGGAGGCAGCAGUGGGGAAUAUUGCACAAUGGGCGAAAGCCUGAUGCAGCAACGCCGCGUGAGGGAUGACGGCCUUCGGGUUGUAAACCUCUUUUAGCAGGGAAGAAGCGAAAGUGACGGUACCUGCAGAAAAAGCGCCGGCUAACUACGUGCCAGCAGCCGCGGUAAUACGUAGGGCGCAAGCGUUAUCCGGAAUUAUUGGGCGUAAAGAGCUCGUAGGCGGUCUGUCGCGUCUGCUGUGAAAACCCGAGGCUCAACCUCGGGCCUGCAGUGGGUACGGGCAGACUAGAGUGCGGUAGGGGAGAUUGGAAUUCCUGGUGUAGCGGUGGAAUGCGCAGAUAUCAGGAGGAACACCGAUGGCGAAGGCAGAUCUCUGGGCCGUAACUGACGCUGAGGAGCGAAAGGGUGGGGAGCAAACAGGCUUAGAUACCCUGGUAGUCCACCCCGUAAACGUUGGGAACUAGUUGUGGGGUCCAUUCCACGGAUUCCGUGACGCAGCUAACGCAUUAAGUUCCCCGCCUGGGGAGUACGGCCGCAAGGCUAAAACUCAAAGGAAUUGACGGGGACCCGCACAAGCGGCGGAGCAUGCGGAUUAAUUCGAUGCAACGCGAAGAACCUUACCAAGGCUUGACAUAUAGAGGAAACGUCUGGAAACAGUCGCCCCGCAAGGUCUCUAUACAGGUGGUGCAUGGUUGUCGUCAGCUCGUGUCGUGAGAUGUUGGGUUAAGUCCCGCAACGAGCGCAACCCUCGUUCUAUGUUGCCAGCACGUAAUGGUGGGAACUCAUGGGAUACUGCCGGGGUCAACUCGGAGGAAGGUGGGGAUGACGUCAAAUCAUCAUGCCCCUUAUGUCUUGGGCUUCACGCAUGCUACAAUGGCCGGUACAAAGGGCUGCAAUACCGUGAGGUGGAGCGAAUCCCAAAAAGCCGGUCCCAGUUCGGAUUGAGGUCUGCAACUCGACCUCAUGAAGUCGGAGUCGCUAGUAAUCGCAGAUCAGCAACGCUGCGGUGAAUACGUUCCCGGGUCUUGUACACACCGCCCGUCAAGUCAUGAAAGUCGGUAACACCUGAAGCCGGUGGCCCAACCCUUGUGGAGGGAGCCGUCGAAGGUGGGAUCGGUAAUUAGGACUAAGUCGUAACAAGGUAGCCGUACCGGAAGGUGCGGCUG